UACAUUUUAAAAAUGUAAAAAUAAUGAUGUAUUCUUAGCUAACUAGCUACAGUGGAGGCUAACUCAGAUGAGCUGCUAACAUAGCUAGAUAGCUAGCUAUCGAGACAACUUUACAUACUGUACAGCUAGUUAGCUAAGUUAAUUAAAUAUCACCAGCUACCUAAUUUCAUAUUAGCUAGCUAUUGUGAUGUAUUUAUCAUUGUAAAAAAUAAAAAAAUAAAAAAUGCAUUUGUAGGAAGCUAGCUAAGGAUAGCAGCUCCAACUGAAUAGGGCAGGUACUUUGGUGUAGUUCCAGUCUCUAGAAAGGAGUGAGGACAGAGAUGAUAGUAGCACCAUAAUAUUCAGUGCUGUCUAAUUGGAGUAUAAGGAAGUCUAGUUUUUGUGAUGUUUUCUGUCCUCAGCUACAGAGAGCUGUGAACGCCUGUUGUAUGCAGAUGAAGAGCGGCGGUUCUCAGUCUAGGUCCUGGGGACUCAAAAGGGAUACCUUGCAACUGGAGAUUCCUCCUAAACAAUUCCCUACAGUUACCGUGUAGGGCACCGCACGAUUGGGUGUCCAGGGCCACCUGGGAAUGCCUCGUGGGGAAAUUCAGGCAUGUGUGAAGGCUACCUGUGUCCUGCAUAACUUCAUGAGGAUGGACACGAGGACCAAGAGGGGACCUGCAGCUUGCCGCCGUGUGCCAGAGGAGAGGUCUGCUGCUCUGCAGGAUGUUGCAAGGAUGGGGGCCAACAAUGCAGCACUGGAGGCAAUCCGUGUGGGAAGGCCUUUACCUCCUACUUACCUGGCAACACCAUAUACCACACUUUGCAUAACCAAAGGCUCUUUUAAGAGCCACCCACCUUGCAAUAAGAGUAUUCUUCCAUUUACUUAGGUAUGUCAACUGCAGUUAUUCAAUUUCCAGUUUCUCUCCCUUUGAUUUAUACUUCUUAAGUGAGGGUGCCGUUUAGGUAAAAUUAAAAAAAAAUUACAAAAAUGUUUACCUUAUUUAACCGUGCUGUUCAGGUAAGGGUGAUGUCUGUACAUAAACAAAGAGUCACCCAUAUUGAAAAAAAUGUGAACAAUAAGACACCCUACAACCCACACCUACAUUGUUGUGUAUCAAGUGUAUAGGCUCAGGUGUAUAACUGGCUCCUUCCACCAUCAAAGAAUAGGCAAGAGGACCAACCAUGGAGAAUAGUAAGGCACGCCACUAUUUAUAUUUAAGUAAGUACUUUAUAUCGUUUGUCCUCGUGUGUCUGUGCAUGUUUUUCAGUAUAAAGUACUCUGCAGCCACACACACAGAUUCCAGUUGAACACUGUCUCUUUUAACUACCUUGUUUUCUCAAUAACAACCCCUUCUCCCUAAAUCCUCUAGGUUAGAUCACCUGUAUCGGUGAACCCCUCCCGCUUCCGAACUGCCUGACACAUAGAGGGCACAGCAUGAUCAGAGGUAUGUUUUGGUGUGAGAGAGGAUGCCAACCCCCAGCCCCGUCAUCCCCACCUCACCGACUCUAAAAUAACCCUCUGGCCAACUGGGGGCCCAAGAAUGGUUAGGAGACAUUGUUAGAGACACUGUUAUGUAAUUGUGAUGACCUGAGAGAAUGUGUAGUUUAGUAGCACUGUAAUUCAUUAAUCAUAUGCUGUCUUCCCUGCUCCUCCGGUCUUAUCUCUUUCCCUUUCUGUUUAUUACACUUUCUCUCACGCCUUUCUCCCCACCUCAUCUUUCUUCCUCUGUUUUUAGAAUGCCCACCAGAUGUGCAUGGAAGUACAGAUAGAACUUAUAUUUAUAAUAUUACGUAUUUAUAACUUGGAUAAUGAACUUCUUCAAUAAAGCUUUUCACAUUCUCUA